rnacentral:rRNA from 1 species
GACUCUCGGCAACGGAUAUCUCGGCUCUCGCAUCGAUGAAGAACGUAGCGAAAUGCGAUACUUGGUGUGAAUUGCAGAAUCCCGUGAACCAUCGAGUCUUUGAACGCAAGUUGCGCCCGAAGCCGYCAGGCCGAGGGSACGCCUGCCUGGGUGUCACGC